rnacentral:lncRNA from 1 species
UUGUCCAGUUCCCUCUACUUCCCCACCAGCCAGGGUGGGUUCAUCUGUACUCUGUACGAUACCAUUGCCUUUUUGUCCCCUUAACAUAAAUAGUUAUAGGGCACUUGACUAUGCCAGCUGGAUUUCAGCGUUACACCACAACUGAAGUUAAUAAAGCUGGCUUUGUAGCUUUAAAGCCACUACAAGAAUUGCCUGCAGCCUUUGUGUCAGAAUAUAAUGCUUUAAAAAUCUACAUCCCUUUCGCUUCCCUCCUCAGAUUUUCCCAGAGGGAAAUUACCUGCUGGUUCUUUGGAGGUUCUGCUGCAGUACCUUUCGAUAGUUGCUGUACUUCUUUCUGAAUUUCAGCAAAAGCUUUAUUUAUCUUGCUCACUUUGUCUGCAUUUGCAAUGUUUAUCUUCCUCAGCCCGGAGGUGACGGGCCGCGCCCGGCCCUUCCCGCGGGCCUUCCCGGCGGCAGCGCCGCGAGCGAUAGCGAAGACGUUGGCCGCCUUCGCCGCCUUCCGCGCCCGGCUCUUCCCCAUGGCCGCCGCCGCGAGCAGCCGGCGCGCGCCUGACGUCACGCCUGAGCGCCGGGGGAAGCCCUGACGUCACCGGCCCGGGAUUCCCCUCCGCGGGGCCGCCGUUCGCAGCGCAGGGUGGUGGUGGCGGCGGGCAGCGGCGCCGGGCCGGG